AUACGUAGGGGGCGAGCGUUGUCCGGAAUGAUUGGGCGUAAAGGGCGCGUAGGCGGCCCGGUAAGUCUGGAGUGAAAGUCCUGUUUUUAAGAUGGGAAUUGCUUUGGAUACUGUCGGGCUUGAGUGCAGGAGAGGUAAGUGGAAUUCCCAGUGUAGCGGUGAAAUGCGUAGAGAUUGGGAGGAACACCAGUGGCGAAGGCGACUUACUGGACUGUAACUGACUCUGAGGCGCGAAAGUGUGGGGAGCAAACAGGAUUAGAUACCCUGGUAGUCCACACUGUAAACGAUGAAUGCUAGGUGUAGGGGGUAUCGACCCCUUCUGUGCCGCAGUCAACACAAUAAGCAUUCCGCCUGGGGAGUACGGCCGCAAGGUUGAAACUCAAAGGAAUUGACGUGG
rnacentral:rRNA from 1 species